UCUCUUUCCUCGAGCCGGGAUGAUUUGUGCUGCUGUGUAAUGAGAGAAAUCCUGCAUCUUUGGCUAUUCAAGGGCCUGAAAUACAGCCUACUGCAGCUGAUAAGGUAUAAUGGAUUUCAGUGAGCUUUAGCACCCCUGAACUGAACACAGCGGAGACCCAGUAUGACUGAAGUUUCCAAGUCCAGCUGUAAGAUAUGGGACCUAACCUGGUAUUUGUAAAUUACAUGUAGUAGAUUGAAGGCAGCAGGCAGCAGGAACCCUUCACAGGCAAGAAAACCCAGGUGUCAAGACCCAAUAAGCACAGUACUUCCAUCAGCUUUCCAGGAGCACGACUGGUUGGAGGUCAUACGUGUUUGUCUUGGUAGGUGUGUAGACAGUAACAGGCACUUGUUGGAUUGACAGGCUUAGUUGAAACACCGUAGUAACACGGUCAGCUUCAUUUGUUUUCUUCCUUCUGAACACAUGGCUAGGAAUAAUAUGUAGUUUCAAGAUUUGGGGUUGUGCUUUUAGCUUGGUUUUUUAGCUUGUUUGUUUGAAUUCUUUUAACGGAGGAAAACAACAUUUGUACAGUGUAGAUACAUUUUGAAAAACCACAAUAAAAUGAAAGAAAAUCACA
rnacentral:lncRNA from 1 species